AGUGAACGCUGGCGGUAGGCCUAACACAUGCAAGUCGAACGGCAGCACAGUAAGAGCUUGCUCUUACGGGUGGCGAGUGGCGGACGGGUGAGGAAUACAUCGGAAUCUACUUUUUCGUGGGGGAUAACGUAGGGAAUCUUACGCUAAUACCGCAUACGACCUACGGGUGAAAGCAGGGGACCUUCGGACCUUGCGCGAUUGAAUGAGCCGAUGUCGGAUUAGCUAGUUGGCGGGGUAAAGGCCCACCAAGGCGACGAUCCGUAGCUGGUCUGAGAGGAUGAUCAGCCACACUGGAACUGAGACACGGUCCAGACUCCUACGGGAGGCAGCAGUGGGGAAUAUUGGACAAUGGGCGCAAGCCUGAUCCAGCCAUACCGCGUGGGUGAAGAAGGCCUUCGGGUUGUAAAGCCCUUUUGUUGGGAAAGAAAAGCAGCAGGUUAAUACCCCGCUGUUCUGACGGUACCCAAAGAAUAAGCACCGGCUAACUUCGUG
rnacentral:rRNA from 1 species